UACGGUCACAACACGUUAAAUCAUCGGUUCCCGUACGAUCACCUAAGUGAAGCAACCUUAAGCCUAGUCAGUAACUAGAUGGGUGACCGCUUUAAAUACCAGGUGCUGUAA